GCUUUUGCCUCCAAAUCAGUCCCUAAAAGAUAAAAAGACAUAAAUAACUUAAAUUAGUAGGAUCAAGCUCAGAAUAAACACAUGAUUAAUACAUAAAAAUACGUUAUUCUAGAGCAUUAUCACAUUUGCUGAGCUCAACAUACUUUCCUUGAAACUCCUCAUUCAGCUUAUUUAAGCUUGUUUGGGAAUGUCACAGGGUUAAGCUGUUGUUGUCUUCUCUACAAGCAGCCCUCAAAGAUGACAGGCUUUAACAACUUCUUGUUCUUCUUAACAAACAGUAGAAGCAGAAACAAGCCUUCAAAGGUGACAGGCUUUAACGGCUU
rnacentral:lncRNA from 1 species